rnacentral:rRNA from 1 species
UACGGAGGAUGCGAGCGUUAUCCGGAUUUAUUGGGUUUAAAGGGUGCGUAGGCGGAUCGUUAAGUCAGUGGUCAAAUUGAGGGGCUCAACCCCUUCGCGCCAUUGAAACUGGCGAUCUUGAGUGGAAGAGAAGUAUGCGGAAUGCGUGGUGUAGCGGUGAAAUGCAUAGAUAUCACGCAGAACCCCGAUUGCGAAGGCAGCAUGCCGGCUUCCUACUGACGCUGAAGCACGAAAGCGUGGGUAGCAAACAGG